rnacentral:rRNA from 1 species
CGUUAGCGGCGGACGGGUGAGUAACACGUGGAUAACCUACCUAUAAGACUGGAUAACUUCGGGAAACCGGAGCUAAUACCGGAUAAUAUAUUGAACCGCAUGGUUCAAUAGUGAAAGACGGUUUUGCUGUCACUUAUAGAUGGAUCCGCGCCGCAUUAGCUAGUUGGUAAGGUAACGGCUUACCAAGGCAACGAUGCGUAGCCGACCUGAGAGGGUGAUCGGCCACACUGGAACUGAAACACGGUCCAGACUCCUACGGGAGGCAGCAGGA